rnacentral:rRNA from 1 species
GGGUUGUGAGGUUAAGCGACUAAGCGUACACGGUGGAUGCCCUGGCAGUCAGAGGCGAUGAAGGACGUGCUAAUCUGCGAAAAGCGUCGGUAAGGUGAUAUGAACCGUUAUAACCGGCGAUGUCCGAAUGGGGAAACCCAGUGCAAUUCGUUGCACUAUCGUUAACUGAAUACAUAGGUUAACGAGGCGAACCGGGGGAACUGAAACAUCUAAGUACCCCGAGGAAAAGAAAUCAACCGAGAUUCCCCCAGUAGCGGCGAGCGAACGGGGAGCAGCCCAGAGUCUGAAUCAGCUUGUGUGUUAGUGGAACGGUCUGGAAAGUCCGACGGUACAGGGUGAUAGUCCCGUACACCAAAAUGCACAGGUUGUGAACUCGAAGAGUAGGGCGGGACACGUGGUAUCCUGUCUGAAUAUGGGGGGACCAUCCUCCAAGGCUAAAUACUCCUGACUGACCGAUAGUGAACCAGUACCGUGAGGGAAAGGCGAAAAGAACCCCGGCGAGGGGAGUGAAAAAGAACCUGAAACCGUGUACGUACAAGCAGUGGGAGCACCUUCGGGUGUGACUGCGUACCUUUUGUAUAAUGGGUCAGCGACUUAUAUUCUGUAGCAAGGUUAACCGUAUAGGGGAGCCGCAGGGAAACCGAGUCUUAACUGGGCGUUAAGUUGCAGGGUAUAGACCCGAAACCCGGUGAUCUAGCCAUGGGCAGGUUGAAGGUUGGGUAACACUAACUGGAGGACCGAACCGACUAAUGUUGAAAAAUUAGCGGAUGACUUGUGGCUGGGGGUGAAAGGCCAAUCAAACCGGGAGAUAGCUGGUUCUCCCCGAAAGCUAUUUAGGUAGCGCCUCGUGAAUUCAUCUUCGGGGUAGAGCACUGUUUCGGCUAGGGGGUCAUCCCGACUUACCAACCCGAUGCAAACUACGAAUACCGAAGAAUGUUAUCACGGGAGACACACGGCGGGUGCUAACGUCCGUCGUGAAGAGGGAAACAACCCAGACCGCCAGCUAAGGUCCCAAAGUCAUGGUUAAGUGGGAAACGAUGUGGGAAGGCACAGACAGCCAGGAUGUUGGCUUAGAAGCAGCCAUCAUUUAAAGAAAGCGUAAUAGCUCACUGGUCGAGUCGGCCUGCGCGGAAGAUGUAACGGGGCUAAACCAUGCACCGAAGCUGCGGCAGCGACACUAUGUGUUGUUGGGUAGGGGAGCGUUCUGUAAGCCUGCGAAGGUGACCUGUGAGGGUUGCUGGAGGUAUCAGAAGUGCGAAUGCUGACAUAAGUAACGAUAAAGCGGGUGAAAAGCCCGCUCGCCGGAAGACCAAGGGUUCCUGUCCAACGUUAAUCGGGGCAGGGUGAGUCGACCCCUAAGGCGAGGCCGAAAGGCGUAGUCGAUGGGAAACAGGUUAAUAUUCCUGUACUUGGUGUUACUGCGAAGGGGGACGGAGAAGGCUAUGUUAGCCGGGCGACGGUUGUCCCGGUUUAAGCAUGUAGGCUGGUUAUCCAGGCAAAUCCGGAUAAUCAAGGCUGAGGUGUGAUGACGAGGCACUACGGUGCUGAAGUAACAAAUGCCCUGCUUCCAGGAAAAGCCUCUAAGCAUCAGGUAACAUCAAAUCGUACCCCAAACCGACACAGGUGGUCAGGUAGAGAAUACCAAGGCGCUUGAGAGAACUCGGGUGAAGGAACUAGGCAAAAUGGUGCCGUAACUUCGGGAGAAGGCACGCUGGUGUGUAGGUGAAGUCCCUGCGGAUGGAGCUGAGACCAGUCGAAGAUACCAGCUGGCUGCAACUGUUUAUUAAAAACACAGCACUGUGCAAACACGAAAGUGGACGUAUACGGUGUGACGCCUGCCCGGUGCCGGAAGGUUAAUUGAUGGGGUUAUCCGUAAGGAGAAGCUCUUGAUCGAAGCCCCGGUAAACGGCGGCCGUAACUAUAACGGUCCUAAGGUAGCGAAAUUCCUUGUCGGGUAAGUUCCGACCUGCACGAAUGGCGUAAUGAUGGCCAGGCUGUCUCCACCCGAGACUCAGUGAAAUUGAACUCGCUGUGAAGAUGCAGUGUACCCGCGGCAAGACGGAAAGACCCCGUGAACCUUUACUAUAGCUUGACACUGAACAUUGAGCCUUGAUGUGUAGGAUAGGUGGGAGGCUUUGAAGCGUGGACGCCAGUCUGCGUGGAGCCAACCUUGAAAUACCACCCUUUAAUGUUUGAUGUUCUAACGUUGGCCCCUUACCGGGGUUGCGGACAGUGUCUGGUGGGUAGUUUGACUGGGGCGGUCUCCUCCCAAAGCGUAACGGAGGAGCACGAAGGUUAGCUAAUCCUGGUCGGACAUCAGGAGGUUAGUGCAAUGGCAUAAGCUAGCUUGACUGCGAGCGUGACGGCGCGAGCAGGUGCGAAAGCAGGUCAUAGUGAUCCGGUGGUUCUGAAUGGAAGGGCCAUCGCUCAACGGAUAAAAGGUACUCCGGGGAUAACAGGCUGAUACCGCCCAAGAGUUCAUAUCGACGGCGGUGUUUGGCACCUCGAUGUCGGCUCAUCACAUCCUGGGGCUGAAGUAGGUCCCAAGGGUAUGGCUGUUCGCCAUUUAAAGUGGUACGCGAGCUGGGUUUAGAACGUCGUGAGACAGUUCGGUCCCUAUCUGCCGUGGGCGCUGGAGAAUUGAGGGGGGCUGCUCCUAGUACGAGAGGACCGGAGUGGACGCAUCACUGGUGUUCGGGUUGUCAUGCCAAUGGCACUGCCCGGUAGCUAAAUGCGGAAGAGAUAAGUGCUGAAAGCAUCUAAGCACGAAACUUGCCCCGAGAUGAGUUCUCCCUGAGACUUUAAGUCUCCUGAAGGAACGUUAAAGACGAUGACGUUGAUAGGCCGGGUGUGUAAGCGCAGCGAUGCGUUGAGCUAACCGGUACUAAUGAACCGUGAGGCUUAACCUUACAACGCCGAAG